rnacentral:rRNA from 1 species
CGAUAGCGUAUAUUAAAGUUGUUGCAGUUAAAAAGCUCGUAGUUGAACUUCUAAAGUUAGGAUAGUCGCCUCAAGGUUUGACAUGUCCUUCUUUAUCCGCUUUGAUUUAGCAAUACGCACUUUGUUGGGCGAUUGUGUAAUCAAGCAAUUUACUUUGAAAAAAUUAGAGUGUUUCACGCAGGCGAUUUGCUGGAAUACAUUAGUAUGGAAUAAUAGAACACGACCUCUUAGGCAUUUUAUUGGUAUAUGACUGGAGGUAAUGAUUAACAGGGACAGUUGGGGGCAUUAGUAUUGCAUUGUCAGAGGUGAAAUUCAUUGAUUAGUGCAAGACUAACUUAUGCGAAAGCAUUUGCCAAGGAUGUUUUCAUUAA